GGGUCAGUAGGUUGGUCGUGCCACCGGUACGUACUGGUCUCACUGAUUCCUCCUUCCUGAAGAACCGUAAUGCCAUUAAUUUGGUGUUGCGGGGAAACAGGACUGUUACUUUGAAAAGAUUAGAGUGUUUAAAGCAAGCUAACGCUUGAAUACAUUAGCAUGGAGUAAUGAAAUAGGACGAUCGAUCCUAUUUUGUUGGUUUCUAGGAUUGACGUA
rnacentral:rRNA from 1 species